rnacentral:rRNA from 1 species
GAUGAACGCUGGCGGCGUGCCUAAUACAUGCAAGUCGAGCGAACGGACGAGAAGCUUGCUUCUCUGAUGUUAGCGGCGGACGGGUGAGUAACACGUGGAUAACCUACCUAUAAGACUGGGAUAACUUCGGGAAACCGGAGCUAAUACCGGAUAAUAUUUUGAACCGCAUGGUUCAAAAGUGAAAGACGGUCUUGCUGUCACUUAUAGAUGGAUCCGCGCUGCAUUAGCUAGUUGGUAGGGUAACGGCUUACCAAGGCAACGAUGCAUAGCCGACCUGAGAGGGUGAUCGGCCACACUGGAACUGAGACACGGUCCAGACUCCUAUGGGAGGCAGCAGUAGGGAAUCUUCCGCAAUGGGCGAAAGCCUGACGGAGCAACGCCGCGUGAGUGAUGAAGGUCUUCGGAUCGUAAAACUCUGUUAUUAGGGAAGAACAUAUGUGUAAGUAACUGUGCACAUCUUGACGGUACCUAAUCAGAAAGCCACGGCUAACUACGUG